rnacentral:lncRNA from 1 species
UGGAGGAAGGGGGCGGUGGAGCGAACAUUUCCAGAUUUAAUCUUGGUCUUGUUGCCUUAACAACUCGAUGUAGAUUUCAAAGAGGUGGCCCUUUUUCUUAAUAAUCCUUUUGGAAGCCAGAGUUGUCAUAACAAUAGCACUGAAAAUAGCUGACCCUUGGUCAAAUGGCUUUUGUUGCUGAUUUUUCUCUUCAAGAAAGGCCUGCAGAACUUUGGGAUCAAGACCCAAAAAAGGAAAAGAGAACAGGCUUGGGAAGAGGUCUUGGGAUGUCUCUGCUGUACCGUCCACUGCCAGAGGUUUAAGUCCAGUACUUUGUUUGGGAUACAGAGUGUUAGAAGGACAGCAUCCCUAUGCAAACCAAUCCAGAGAGAUCUGAAGGCGAGGAGCAGAAUAAAGCUGUGGAUACUGAGGAUAAAUUUUCAAGGAGUGAGAUGGUUAGCAUUGCCAAAGGAAGCAGGGAAUCCAGACUGCGACGUUCCUGGGAAACACCAAAGAGUAAUUUCAUCAAGAGAAGCCACACUGCAGGGGGCAAAGGUGGGAACAGGUAGGGAAGACGUGCAGGUAACCUUAAUGCACCAAAAAUUUCCUUACAUGUGAACCCAACCCCAUUAACUCUGACUUCCUGCCACAUAUGAGUAUAGGCUUUAGAAAGAAGCUGGUUCUUUAAGGGUUUCAAAUUCUUUGAAAGAAUUUCUACUAAAAUCAAAGUGCUUCCAGAUAAGAAAGGUGGUGUUGUUUUUCAUCACCAAUCACCAAUUUUAUUCCUGUUAUAGGGAA